UACGUAGGCAGCGAGCGUUGUUCGGAAUUACUGGGCGUAAAGAGUGUGUAGGCGGUGCUCUAAGUCUGUCGUGAAAUCUCCCGGCUUAACUGGGAGGGUGCGGCGGAAACUGGUGUGCUCGAGGGUGGGAGAGGUAAGCGGAAUUCCUGGUGUAGCGGUGAAAUGCGUAGAUAUCAGGAAGAACACCAAUGGCGAAAGCAGCUCUCUGGGACGGUACUGACGCUGAGACGCGAAAGCGUGGGGGAGCGAACAGG
rnacentral:rRNA from 1 species